GCGGGCGUAAUUCAGCGGUAGAAUGCCACCUUCCCAAGGUGGACGUCGUGGGUUCGAUCCCCAUCGCCCGCUCCA
rnacentral:tRNA from 1 species